rnacentral:lncRNA from 1 species
AGCUUCGGAAAAUGGCUGCCCGGCUGGACGCCGCCGCGCUUGGGCUUUCAGUUCGGAGUCGCGGCCACACUAGGCCUAGGGCCAUCCAAUGAGACAAGGCGCUGCCACGGAUAACAAUACAUGCUCAGGCGAAUGCUGUAGAGCUGAGGCCCGGUCCUCAGCCCCUGCUCGCCUCAUUUUCGCCUGUUUACCUCUUCCCUUUCUCGGCCGCAGGAGGAAACGAAAGAACAGUUUCAGGCCCAGCUCCGGCCGCGGGAGCUUCCCAGGGUUCCCGCGCGAGCCCUCCCAAAGGGUUCAGGAGCGGCAGGCAGGCCUCAUCUGGUUGUGUGCUU